ACCGGAAAUGGUCGCUCUUGAUUUUCAAACAAACAUUUGGUCGUCGUCGAGUGUGUGUGGAAGUCACAAGGGGAAAGUUAACCUGGUAGCGUUUGCUGCGGCCUAGCGUUUUCACCUCUGUGGACAGGACAGCGGAUGGCUCGUCCGGAAAAGACAAAUGUUUGAAAAACCGAAAGAGACCGAUGGCAUCUGCAUCUCGUCCAAGUCCUUACAACCAGACGCAGAGAUUGUCCCAGGACUGACCAUGUGACCUUUUUCGGAAUAAAGCCAGUGCUCAUGGACAGUGAGCAGUGGGUGAGCCAAUCAACACUGAAGCAUGGCCGUGGUACUACAGCGUGGUCGGGGACAAGUGAUGUCCUGUGGUGGAUGUGUGGUGGUAAAUGGGAGCACACUGUGGUUACUCUUCAAGCAAUGUAAAGGUCAAAGAGACUGGUGGCCUCUGCAUCUCGUCCAAGUCCUUACAACCAGACGUAGAGAUUGUCCCAGGACUGACCAUGUGACCUUUUUGGGAAUAAAGCCAGUGCUCAUGGACAGUGAGGUACAGAUCUCAACACUGUGUGUUUUAGGACUUUGGUUUAGGAUUGGGAAAGAAAACUUGGAAUAAGGCUUAGGGUCAAGGUUUGUGAUAUGGGUGGAUUAGUUGGAAUUAGGGUUCAGAAUAAAGCAAUUGGUAUGAUCAAAACUAAUGAAUUACUAAAAAAAAUCUUAACAAAAUAAAACUAUGUCCACAAUUCAUAUAAAAUACACAAAUGUUCAUUGAAAUGCCUAGUUAUUUCCUUUUCCAUGGUUAAAUUUCAGAUCAUAUAUACUUUCUUUGUAUAUCAACUUUUGAUUAAAAUAAAAUACUAUACUAAUAAGAUCCUGGAAAGGUCUUCAAAAAUAAGUUUCUCAAAAAUAACUAAAAAUACACUAAUUUGUCUUAAAAAAUGUCAAUUUUUGUGGUUAAAAUUCAGAAAAGAAAAAAAUAUACUUUUUUGGUACGCCAACUUUUGAUAACAAUAAAAUACUAUACCAAUAAAUUCCCCUAAAAUAUGUAGGUAUAUACUUUUAUAUGGUUAUGGGUAUAAUUUUCUAAGAAAGAAAACUAAAGUAAAAGCACUCAGGUAUUCGUACAAAUGUACUCAUUUCCAAAGUAUUUCUGUCCUAGUGGUCAUUAUUUUAUAUCAAUAAUUAAUGCACCCUAUUUUAAUAGACAUUCAUUUGAAAUAUGUCAAAUAAUUGUUAAUUGUUAUUUAUAGUUUCUUUUGAUAGAAAAAAAAUGAUGAAAAUAACUCAUGAAAUGUAGUUUUAUUUAUAAAUUCAGCCUAAAUGUGUUAAUAUUCUUAUUUAGCAACAGAAUAAAUUAAAUAUAUAAAAAUUAAAUUGAGUUUUGCCAAAGAAACAGUCCAAAAUAUAUUGAGGAAAAAAAUGAGCAAAAACAAUAGCAAAGGUGAUUUAUUUAUUUAUUUUAGAAAAUAAAUUAGCAAGUUAGUGCUAAAAUUUCUUGCAGGCUAAAUUUUGCCAAAUAAUGUGAUGAUAAAAGAUCAAAGAUUGCUGCACAGUUCAGGAACAGUUAGCAGAACAGAAAUACCCGAUUGUUAGCCAGUGUUAGCCCGAUUGGAAAAACGCUAAAAUGGACCAAAAGUUUCCUUCAGUCAGCAAAAACGUUCUUCUCCUUUGUUUUGACUUGAACUUGAAUCUGUUAUAUCUGCAGGAGGCGCUGCAGGCCCAAAACAUGCCUUACUAUAGCCUUACCAUCGUUAAAAAAUCCAUAAAAAAAAAAUUCCCGAAAUACCUUAAAAUGUAAGCUUAUGUCCUAAAACAUGCUGCC